rnacentral:rRNA from 1 species
AGGCCUUAAUACAUAUAUAUAUAUAUAUAUAUAUAUAUAUAUAUAUAUAUAUAUAUAUAUAUAUAUAUAUAUAUAUAUAUAUAUAUAUAUAUAUAUAAUAUUUUAUAUUUUUUAUUGGGGUAGCCCCCAAAAUAUUGGGACAUAUUAAAAAACGACAACUCUGUUCCGUGACGGCGACUUUGCAUUCGGAUGUCAUCCAUAUCAACUUUCGAUGCCAGUUUCUGCGCCUACCAUGGUGACCACAGGUAACAGGGAAUCAGGGUUCCAUUCCGUACAGGGACCCUGAGAAACAGCUACCACAUGCAAGGAAGGCAGCAGGCGCGCAAAUGACCCACUCCCGACGCGGGAAGGUAGUGA